rnacentral:miRNA from 10 species
UGGUUGAUGGUUCUCGCAAAGU